rnacentral:rRNA from 1 species
AGAACGAACGCUGGCGGCGUGCCUGACACAUGCAAGUCGAACGAGGUCGCAAGACCGAGUGGCGGACGGGUGAGUAACACGUGACCAACCUGUCCCGAAGACUGGGAUAACACCGGGAAACCGGUGCUAAUACCGGAUACCCCCACCGGGUCGCAUGGUCUGGCGGGGAAAAGGAUUCCGCUUCGGGAGGGGCUCGUGGCCUAUCAGCUAGUUGGUGGGGUAACGGCCUACCAAGGCUUCGACGGGUAGCUGGUCUGAGAGGACGAUCAGCCACACUGGGACUGAGACACGGCCCAGACUCCUACGGGAGGCAGC